rnacentral:lncRNA from 1 species
AACACACACGCACACAUGGUGGGAGAGAGAAACUCUCCUUUCUCUCUCUAGAUUCCUCCUCCAUCUCUCUAGAUCCAUCUCUCAAAUUCGAAAUUUUGGAGGAGAUGAUGUUGGAGAUGAAGUUGAAGCUCUCUAAUGGUGGAAGCAAGCUUUCCAAUGGUGGAUUUAGCCUGGCCUAAGGUGAGAUCUCAUGAUUAAGCUAGGAUUUCAAUUAAGCUAGGAUUUCAAUUAAAUCCUUUAUGUAUGAGAUUCUAUUAGCCUAUAAUGUGUCGUUAGCAUGUUUUCUCCAUUUAAAUUGGGUUAAUUGGAGCAUGUGUAGAGGCUAGGUUUGAAAUGGUGGAUUUCUAGGGUUUGAAUUAUAUGCUCUAGAAUUGAAUUUAGAGGAACCCUUAGAUACUAAAUGGAUGACUAUUGCAUGAAUUAAGAGGUUAUAUGUUGAUUUCUUACAAUAGUGCAUCCUAGGGCUUAAAAUGGGGUUUUGCAAAAUGUAAGGGCUUGAUCUAAUUUAACUCUAUGUAAACCUAAUUGCUAGGUAUACGAACGCGUUGGUGAAGUCGGUUCGGCGAUUCGUCAAGCCUACGCGAAGUUAUUGAAGAAACGAACCAUUAAAGCUUCGUUUCCGCCUGGAGGGCCGAGGCGACGUCCUAAAAUCAUGAAAGAUGGAAUCGUGAGCUCGUGACAACUAACCGCGGAUCUUUAAUUUUCGGAUCGUGGAUUGGAGGCCGUUUGGGUGGUCGCGCGAGAGUUCGGGCCGAACCGGGUCACGGGUGCCGCGGGAGGCCGAUUGCAAGUGACUACAAGCAAUCGGAGUGCGAAUUGAGGUGGCUUGUGCUUACCGAAGCGACUAGGUCGCCGUUAUGUUUAAGAGUAAUGGUUACUAUUGAUGCAUACAUGUGUAGUGGUAGGUUGCAAGAGAUAAUGUAGAUGCAUAAAUCUUAUGCUUGAUGUUGAUACCUACCAAUGAAAUAUGUAUGUUGAUACAAUGAGGAAAUGCUAAAUGAUGCAUGUAGUUAACAUUAAGAGAAUGCAUGUUAAUUACAUAAUGUAAAAUGCUAAAGAGGAUGUAUGUUGCAUGUUAUAGAAAUGCUAAGUGAAUGCAUAUGAUAUGAUAUUGAGAUGCUAGAAUGCAUAUGUGCAUGUGACUGGAUUGUUAACUCUAGAGUGAGUAGAGAACAUGGCAAAGGAAAAAUACUAAUGUGUAAGGCUCGAUUGGACAAUCUAUAUUUAUUAGAUCGAGUGACAUUUAACCUAGUGUCUUGAACAUAGGUUGAACAUGAAUGAUAUGAACCUAGUGUCGUGAACCUAGGAAAGAUUGAGUGGCAUUUAACCUAGUGUUAAUAAACAUAGGUUGGUCAAGGGUGGCAUUAAACCUAAUGUAUUAAACUUAGGUUGAGAAUUGAACCUAGAGUCAAGUAAACCUAGGGUAUGCAUAUAGCAACAUUGAACGUAGGGUCAAGUGGACCUAAAAGGAAAAUGACAUUGGACCUAGUGUUAAUGAACCUAGGCUAUGAACAUAUCGACAUCGAACCUAAAGUAUUAACUUAGGUUGAACGAAGACUUGGACCUAGAUAGGUUGUCACGCCCCGGG